rnacentral:rRNA from 1 species
ACUUAUCACUUUCGCUUAGCCACUGAAAUUGCUUCCAACAGCUAGUAUCCAUCGUUUACGGCGUGGACUACCAGGGUAUCUAAUCCUGUUCGCUACCCACGCUUUCGUCCAUCAGCGUCAAUCCAUUAGUAGUAACCUGCCUUCGCAAUUGGUAUUCCAUGUAAUCUCUAAGCAUUUCACCGCUACACUACAUAUUCUAGUUACUUCCUAAUAAUUCAAGUUUAGCAGUAUCAAUGGCCGUUCCACCGUUGAGCGAUGGGCUUUCACCACUGACUUACUAAACCGCCUACGGACCCUUUAAACCCAAUGAUUCCGGAUAACGCUUGGAUCCUCCGUAUUACCGCGGCUGCUGGCACGGAGUUAGCCGAUCCUUAUUCUUACGAUACCGUCAAGCUCCUUCACGAAGGAGUGUUUCUUCUCGUACAAAAGCAGUUUACAAUCCAUAGGACCGUCAUCCUGCACGCGGCAUGGCUGGAUCAGGCUUGCGCCCAUUGUCCAAUAUUCCUCACUGCUGCCUCCCGUAGGAGUCUGGUCCGUGUCUCAGUACCAGUGUGGGGGAUCUCCCUCUCAGGACCCCUACCCAUCGUAGCCUUGGUAAGCCGUUACCUUACCAACUAGCUAAUGGGACGCAUGCUCAUCUUUUACCGUUGUGACUUUAAUAGCUGCUUCAUGCGAAGCUGCUAUGCUAUGAGGUAUUAAUCCAAAUUUCUCUGGGCUAUCCCUCUGUAAAAGGUAGAUUGCAUACGCGUUACGCACCCGUGCGCCGGUCUCUAUAUCCGAAGACAUAUACCCCUCGACUGCA